rnacentral:snoRNA from 1 species
AUCCUCUCAGGGUUGCACCUGGAGAGUUUCCAGUACUCUACCAGUCUCAGCUACGAGAGGGAGAGUUAAGCAGAGGCAUAUCCCUUCCAUUCCUAGUUUGGGCAGUGGCGAGCGAGUGAAAGGCAAUCUGCUACAAGU